UACAAAGUACUGAGCUUGCAGCUUUGAGCAACUGACAGUUUGUCUGAUGUGAAGAAUGUAGACCAUAUGAGCCUGGGGCCUUGGGAACCAGCUCCUGGUUGCCACCCAGAAGACUGUCCUGAUAAGAAGGCCUGUGACAGGUUCAGGUUCCAACCUUCACAGCCAACCUUACCACCUGCAGUUUUCUCUCAGACCUUUACUUUCUGAUCAAUUGUAGAGCUGUCCCUUGCUAUGAUAAAGUAGAGCAUCUUCUUGGGCUUGUUUUGAUCUCCCUUGCUGUGCUGAUGGCUUCUGGCACAACACCUUCUACAGAGGUGCAAAUUAGCAAAUGAAUGACUGGAUAAUUAUCAAACAAAACAGUGACAUUCCUAGAAUCUGUCACUGAAUCAAGGACCACAGGAACAGAAAUCCUCUUAUGGUUUUACUUUGUUAAAUGUCCUUUAGAACACUGUCCUAACCAAUUACAUUAGAAACAACCUCCAAACUCAAUGUCUUCAAAUACCAAGCCAUUGCCUCUCUUGGUUCUGUGGACGCACUAAGCUCAGCUCUCUCUCUCUCUCUCUCUCUCUCUCUCUCUCUCUCUCUCUCUGUGUGUGUGUGUGUGUGUGUGUGUGUGUGUGUGUUUUACCUGAGAUCUGUCAUGCAGUUUUAGAACAGAGAAGCCAGGGUUGGAGUCAUUGGAAGGCUCGACUGGGCGGAUAUCCAAGAUACAUUGAGGACAGCUGAUGUCAGCGGCUGGAUUACCCACACUUGUCAACUGGACAGGACCAGUUUAUAACACUUGGCCUGUCCACGUGGCUUGGGUUUUUCACAGAAUUGCUUCUGGGUGCCCAAAUCUGUCAUCUGUCAGUGAGCAUUCUGAGAGAGCUGAUAACGAACAGCAGGUUUCCUAUUAUCUAGCCUUGGGGGCCAUAGCAUAUGGCUACAAGCAAACAUAUGAUCUUGGGGACUUGGUAGAGUGCCUGCCUAGCAAGUAGGAUGGCCCGGAAUUGAAAAACAAACAACAAGCAAACAAACAACAACAAAACUUCAAACGCGUUAUCCCUGAAGGACAACCUAUCUCUGCAAGAGCCUUCCUUUAUCACGUGAUCCAUCCACUAUACUGCUGAGCACUGGCGACAAUCACUAUCAACCGGAUCUAGCACAGUUGUCCUUGGAGAAUCUCAGCAUGAACAGUGAGCAGAGAGAGAAGCUGGCGAGGUUGACAUGAAAGGCGAGCGGUGCUCCAGGGCCUAUUAUCGAUGGCCAGAACUCAUCCUACUUUGAAAGGGUCUUGAGCAGAUUAAGAUGAAACAGACGGGCAUUACAUGGAAGCUUCUUUCAGCCCCCACCAGCUUUCAUUGCUGACCAUCCUGUUCCUGACUGUGCUGUGUAGGAGAAUCC
rnacentral:lncRNA from 1 species